rnacentral:rRNA from 1 species
ACUUAAGCAUAUCAAUAAGCGGAGGAAAAGAAACCAACUGGGAUUGCCUUAGUAACGGCGAGUGAAGCGGCAAUAGCUCAAAUUUGAAAGCUGGCCCCUUUGGGGUCCGCGUUGUAAUUUGUAGAGGAUGAUUCGGCGAGGGCUCCCGUCUAAGUCCCCUGGAACGGGGCGUCAUAGAGGGUGAGAAUCCCGUAUGUGAUGGGUUGCCUUAGCCAUGUGAAUCUCCUUCGACGAGUCGAGUUGUUUGGGAAUGCAGCUCUAAAUGGGAGGUAAAUUUCUUCUAAAGCUAAAUACCGGCCAGAGACCGAUAGCGCACAAGUAGAGUGAUCGAAAGAUGAAAAGCACUUUGGAAAGAGAGUUAAAAAGUACGUGAAAUUGUUGAAAGGGAAGCGCUUGCAGCCAGACUUGUCCGCAGUUGCUCAGCCGGUCUCCUGACCGGCGUACUCUUCUGCGGCCAGGCCAGCAUCAGUUCGGGCGGUCGGAUAAAGACCCCAGGAAUGUAGCUCCUCUCGGGGAGUGUUAUAGCCUGGGGUGGAAUGCGGCCAGCCUGGACUGAGGAUCUCGCUUCGGCUAGGAUGCUGGCGUAAUGGCUGUAAGCGGCCCGUCUUGAAACACGGACCAAGGAGUCUAACAUCUAUGCGAGUGUUUGGGUGUCAAACCCAUACGCGUAAUGAAAGUGAACGGAGGUGGGAACCCUCACGGGUGCACCAUCGACCGAUCCUGAUGUCUUCGGAUGGAUUUGAGUAAGAGCAUAGCUGUUGGGACCCGAAAGAUGGUGAACUAUGCCUGAAUAGGGUGAAGCCAGAGGAAACUCUGGUGGAGGCUCGCAGCGGUUCUGACGUGCAAAUCGAUCGUCAAAUUUGGGUAUAGGGGCGAAAGACUAAUC